rnacentral:misc_RNA from 1 species
GAUGAAGAACGCAGCGAAAUGCGAUAAGUAAUGUGAAUUGCAGAAUUCCGUGAAUCAUCGAAUCUUUGAACGCACAUUGCGCCCCUUGGUAUUCCGGGGGGCAUGCCUGUUCGAGCGUCAUUAUAACCCCUCAAGCUCAGCUUGGUGUUGGGGCCUGCCGACUGGCAGCCCUUAAAAUCAGUGGCGGCGCCAUCUGGCUCUAAGCGUAGUAAUUUCUCUCGCUAUAGAGUCCCGGUGGAUGCUUGCCAGCAACCCCCAACUUUCUAUGGUUGACCUCGGAUCAGGUAGGGAUACCCGCUGAACUUAAGCAUAUCAAUAAGCGGAGGA